rnacentral:rRNA from 1 species
AUUGAACGCUGGCGGCAGGCCUAACACAUGCAAGUCGAGCGGAGCGGCGGACGGGUGAGUACUGCCUAGGAAUCUGCACGGUAGUGGGGGAUAACGUCGGGUAAGGGGACAUAUUACCGCAUACUUUCAAAUCGGCCUAGGUCGGAUUAGCUAGUUGGUGGGGUAAAGGCCUAGCAAGGCAACGAUCCGUAACUGGUCUGAGAGGAUGAUCAGUCACACUGGGACUGAGACACGGUCCAGACUCCUACGGGAGGCAGCAGUGGGGAAUCUUGGACAAUGGGCGAAAGCCUGAUCCAGCCAUGCCGCGUGUGUGAAGAAGGUCUUCGGAUUGUAAAGCACUUUAGGUUGAGAGGCGGUACCAACAGAAUAAGCACCGGCUAACUACGUGCCAGCAGCCGCGGUAAUAC